GUGGGUAUUACUUAGUGGUUAAAGUGCUGGAUUGUGGUUCUAGAUUUCGUGGGUUCGAUUCCCACUACUCGCCC
rnacentral:tRNA from 1 species